rnacentral:rRNA from 1 species
UACGAAGGGGGCUAGCGUUGCUCGGAAUCACUGGGCGUAAAGGGUGCGUAGGCGGGUUUUUAAGUCAGAGGUGAAAUCCUGGAGCUCAACUCCAGAACUGCCUUUGAUACUGGCGAUCUUGAGUCCGGGAGAGGUGAGUGGAACUGCGAGUGUAGAGGUGAAAUUCGUAGAUAUUCGCAAGAACACCAGUGGCGAAGGCGGCUCACUGGCCCGGUACUGACGCUGAGGUGCGAAAGCGUGGGGAGCAAACAGG